GAUGAACGCUGGCGGCGUGCCUAAUACAUGCAAGUCGAGCGAACAGACGAGGAGCUUGCUCCUCUGACGUUAGCGGCGGACGGGUGAGUAACACGUGGAUAACCUACCUAUAAGACUGGGAUAACUUCGGGAAACCGGAGCUAAUACCGGAUAAUAUAUUGAACCGCAUGGUUCAAUAGUGAAAGACGGUUUUGCUGUCACUUAUAGAUGGAUCCGCGCCGCAUUAGCUAGUUGGUAAGGUAACGGCUUACCAAGGCAACGAUGCGUAGCCGACCUGAGAGGCUGAUCGGCCACACUGGAACUGAGACACGGUCCAGACUCCUACGGGAGGCAGCAAUAGGGAAUCUUCCUCAAUGGGCGAAAGCCUGACGGAGCAACGCCGCGUGAGUGAUGAAGGUCUUCGGAUCGUAAAACUCUGUUAUUAGGGAAGAACAAAUGUGUAAGUAACUAUGCACGUCUUGACGGUACCUAAUCAGAAAGCCACGGCUAACUACGUG
rnacentral:rRNA from 1 species